rnacentral:rRNA from 1 species
AACGAACGCUGGCGGCAGGCUUAACACAUGCAAGUCGAACGCCCCGCAAGGGGAGUGGCAGACGGGUGAGUAACGCGUGGGAAUCUACCCAUCUCUACGGAAUAACUCAGGGAAACUUGUGCUAAUACCGUAUACGCCCUACGGGGGAAAGAUUUAUCGGAGAUGGAUGAGCCCGCGUUGGAUUAGCUAGUUGGUGGGGUAAAGGCCUACCAAGGCGACGAUCCAUAGCUGGUCUGAGAGGAUGAUCAGCCACAUUGGGACUGAGACACGGCCCAAACUCCUACGGGAGGCAGCAGUGGGGAAUAUUGGACAAUGGGCGCAAGCCUGAUCCAGCCAUGCCGCGUGAGUGAUGAAGGUCUUAGGAUUGUAAAGCUCUUUCACCGGUGAAGAUAAUGACGGUAACCGGAGAAGAAGCCCCGGCUAACUUCGUGCCAGCCGCCGCGGUAA